UCUGGAGAAGCCCUCGUACGUUGUGCAAAGUUCCUGAACUGGAAGGAGCUCAAGCGCCAGGCCAAGAGAAAGGGAAAAAUGGAGAUCAAGGAGUGCUUGCUGCGGCAGGACAGGCAGACGGCGAAUGAAUACCUUUGGCUGAGCCUGCCAUACCUGCAAAAUUCUCAGGCCUCUUUGCGAUAUGAGGCUGUUGAAUUCAUUGGGCUGGCUUUGCAGCACUCCGGACACCAAAGCAGGGAGAAGCUGAAUGUAAUUUGCAGUGCCCUCCAGCCUUUGAGAGGCGAUGCCCACCCAGCAGUCCGUUCCGUGGCAACUGGAGUAAUCCAGAAAUGUCAAGGCCAGAAGGCAGAACCAACACGGAGGAGGUUCAAAGGACUGUGCUGCUGGCCCUGCUGAGCCAUGUGUCCUUAUCAAGACGACUCUGAUUAAAACUGGCAUUACAAAGCCAUUCCCUUGCAUGGGGAUACAGAUCCACUGGAGGCCUGGACAAUCAGCAACGACACGCAGUUCCACUGAAGGACAGACCAGACCUUUAAGCUGGCAUUCAUUGCUCCUAAGGACCCCGUGGCUUUCCUUCAUGUUCUUUCAAGGUCAUUACCCCACCCAUGUACAAAAUAAGAGUAGCUUCACGGCAGAUAUGGAAGAGCAAUGGGU
ensembl:lncRNA